rnacentral:lncRNA from 1 species
CUACUUACGUUUGAAGCAGCUUGGGCCUGAUGAGGAAGAGGACCUUCUUGAAAGAAAAUCAGCAGAUGAAAUCUGGAUACUUCGUCCUUCCCCAUGAGACCUGGAGGGCUCUUGCAUUCGUAAAUUGUUGUUACGAGCAAGGAAAAAAAAUCAUAAAACUGACACCAAAACAGAGAGAAAAGUGAAAAAAUCAGUGGAGAAUGGAUAAGCUGACAAAUGUGAUUUUUCAGCUGGGAUUAAUAAUGCACCUAUUCAACAGAAGGAUUUGGCCUAAAGUCAGAAAGAUGAGAUAAACAGGAUAACGAUUAAAACACAAAAACAUAUGGUAUCACCAACUGCGUGAAGAUCAACAUUAGAUUAAAUCCCAUUCAGUAAGCAGUGUUUAUGCAUCUCUCAGCCAGACAGGAUGUUCUACUGAUGUUUCAGACCGGGCUCCAGCUGAGUCGUAUGAAGUACAGGGACUGUACCUUGCUGCUGAAGCAAUCAUCGAUUUGUUGUGAUUGUGUCCAACCUCAAUCUCCUGCAUUUCAAAGACUCGCUGACGCAGAUAAACCCAGUGUUCCUAAGUCUGGAUUUCUCCAACAAAUUGCCAGGUGAGCCUUUCUGCUCAGCCCUGAAGAGGUGAGCAUCUGGGACACAAACAGAAACCCCUCACUCAUCAACUACAGAGUGCACUCGAGUUGAGCAGCUGUUUGCCUUUCCGUGCUACAAUAUCCUAGAAACCCCAAGGUAUCUCAGGUAUGUUCAGAGAAGAAAGAAGGAAAAAAAAAAAAGCACCUCUAGACUUUUCACGACAUAAGAAAGCAUAAAAGCCUGCCUAAUAUUUCAUACAAAUAACCCUGAUAAGCAAGGAAUUAUUCCCAUGUGCAAAGUAUGCCAAGAGGAGCUGAAAUCUAUCACCUCUUAUGAAUUAGAAGCUUGUUACUGUUUAUUGGCAUGCUGCAUAUGUAUUUCAUUAAUUCUUCAUAAUAAUCUGUUUUCAAAUAAAAAAAGUAA